UACGGAGGGUGCGAGCGUUGUCCGGAAUCAUUGGGCGUAAAGGGCGCGUAGGCGGCCCGCUAAGUCGAACGUGAAAUCCCCGAGCUCAACUCGGGAACUGCGUCCGAUACUGGCGGGCUUGAAUCCGGGAGAGGGAUGCGGAAUUCCAGGUGUAGCGGUGAAAUGCGUAGAUAUCUGGAGGAACACCGGUGGCGAAGGCGGCAUCCUGGACCGGCAUUGACGCUGAGGCGCGAAAGCUAGGGGAGCAAACGGG
rnacentral:rRNA from 1 species